rnacentral:rRNA from 1 species
AUGGAGCACGGCCAGGCGACUAACCGCGUCGACGAGUACGGCAACCCGGUGGCCGGACAUGGCGUCGGCACCGGCAUGGGGGCGCACGGCGGCGUGGGCACCGGCGCGGCCGCUGGUGGGCAUUUCCAGCCCACGAGGGAGGAGCACAAGGCCGGAGGGAUCCUGCAGCGCUCCGGCAGCUCUAGUAGCUCCAGCUCGUCUGAGGAUGAUGGCAUGGGCGGGAGGAGGAAGAAGGGCAUCAAGGGGAAGAUCAAGGAGAAGCUCCCCGGUGGCCAUGGCGACCAGCAACAGACCGCUGGCACCUAUGGGCAGCAGGGUCACACCGGAAUGACCGGCACCGGGGCGCAUGGUACAGCAGCCACUGGCGGCACCUACGGGCAGCAAGGACACACCGGAGUGACCGGCACGGGGACGCACGGCACCGACGGCACUGGCGAAAAGAAGGGCAUCAUGGACAAGAUCAAGGAGAAGCUGCCCGGACAGCACUGA